GAUGAAGAACGCAGCGAAAUGCGAUAAGUAAUGUGAAUUGCAGAAUUCAGUGAAUCAUCGAAUCUUUGAACGCACAUUGCGCCCGCCAGUAUUCUGGCGGGCAUGCCUGUCUGAGCGUCAUUUCAACCCUCAUGCCCCUAGGGCGUGGUGUUGGGGAUCGGCCAAAGCCCGCGAGGGACUGCCGGCCCCUAAAUCUAGUGGCGGACCCGUCGUGGCCUCCUCUGCGAAGUAGUGAUAUUCCGCAUCGGAGAGCGAUGAGCCCCUGCCGUUAAACCCCCAACUUUCCAAGGUUGACCUCAGAUCAGGUAGGAAUACCCGCUGAACUUAAGCAUAUCAAUAAGCGGAGGA
rnacentral:misc_RNA from 1 species